CCUACGGGAGGCAGCAGUGGGGAAUAUUGCACAAUGGGGGAAACCCUGAUGCAGCGACGCCGCGUGGGCGAGGAAGUACCUCGGUAUGUAAAGCCCUAUCAGCAGGGAAGAAACAGGACAGUACCUGACUAAGAAGCCCCGGCUAACUACGUGCCAGCAGCCGCGGUAAUACGUAGGGGGCAAGCGUUAUCCGGAUUCACUGGGCGUAAAGGGAGCGCAGGCGGCAUGGCAAGUCUGAUGUGAAAACCCGGGUCCCAACCCCGGGAGGGCAUUGGAAACUGCCAGGCUGGCGUGUCGGAGGGGUAAGCGGAAUUCCUAGUGUAGCGGUGAAAUGCGUAGAUAUUAGGAGGAACACGAGUGGCGAAGGCGGCUUACUGGACGACUACUGACGCUGAGGCUCGAAAGCGUGGGGAGCAAAAAGGAUUAGAUACCCAGUAGUC
rnacentral:rRNA from 1 species